GAUGAACGCUGGCGGCGUGCCUAAUACAUGCAAGUCGAGCGAACAGACGAGGAGCUUGCUCCUCUGACGUUAGCGGCGGACGGGUGAGUAACACGUGGAUAACCUAACUAUAAGACUGGGAUAACUUCGGGAAACAGGAGCUAAUACCGGAUAAUAUAUUGAACCGGAAGGUUCAAUAGUGAAAGACGGUUUUGCUGACACUUAUAGAUGGAUACGCGGCGCAUUAGCUAGUUGGUAAGGUAAAGGCUUACCAAGGCAACGAUGCGUAGCCGACCUCAGAGGGUGAUCCCCCACCCUGGCUCUGAGACACGGUCCAGACUCCUACGGUAGGCAGCAGCCCGGAAUCUUCCGCAAUGGAGGAGAGCCUGACGGUGCAACGCCGCGUGAGUGAUGAAGGUCCUCUGAUCGUAAAGCUCUGUUAUUAGUGGAGAACAAAUGUGCUUUUACCCAUGCUCGUCUUGACGGUACCGAAUCAGAAAGCCCCGGCUAACUACGUG
rnacentral:rRNA from 1 species